AAGUUAUUUUUAUAAUGACGAGUUUUGCGGCUCCCAGUUGUUUUUUUCUUCGGAAACGGGUCCAAGUGGCUCUUUUUGUCUUAAAGGUUGCAGACCCCUGAUCUAGUCCAACCCUCUACAAUGUACAUGCAACUGUCCCGUAUGAGAACCGAACCCGCAACCUUGGCGUUACCGUGCUCUAACCAACCGAGCUAUUGAAAGGUGUGGUUUCCCCUACCAAUCCAAAUAAAGUGUGAGAUGCAUUAAAAAAUCUGAGCCCUGCAGAUUAACUGUUCGAGGAGGAAGGAGUGCUGUCAGCAGGUGGGAAUUCAGAAAUAAUAAUAAUAAUAAUAAUAAUAAUAAUAAUAACAAUAAUAAUAAUAAUUCAGCCCCCCCCCCCCAUUCUCCUCCCAAGCAGCUGACCAUUGUAUCACUGUCUAUUUUAUUGUGUGUCAGGGGUUCAGGGAGAGAGGCACAGGGUAGGCAGGAGAUGGAGAGCGAUGGGGAGGAAUUCCAAGCCAGCGAGGAAGAGGAUGACAAUGACUCAAGAGAUUCCAUGAGUCUUUCCAGCGAAUCAGAGGAUUCCCAGAAGGGG